GAGGUCACUGUAAAGGAAAAAAAGCAUUUAUUGUCCAAAGUGAUAUCCUGAGAAAGUAAUCUUGAAACUACAGAUGCUGAGGGACACAAAUAACCACACUUUGGGAAACUUUUAGCAAAGAGUAGUGCCAAUAGUUAAUGGUUAGAGACAUUCUUGUAAGACAGUGAUCUAAAACAGCAGAACUAAAACUUUUGAAGGCAGAUGUAGGAGACAGGUAAUCAAAGGUAUGAGAGAAGGAUAAGCAUGUGGUUCUGGGGUCUUCCUGUGGAUAUGGAACUCUGCCUAGGUAUCUAUGUCUCAUGUGCAUGAAUCUGAGUAGAGACUAACUCAGAUGUUCGUAUUUCUGGAGCAUCCCUCCUCUUUCUUUUCCACCUGCUCCAUCCAAUAGAAUAUAAGUUACCCUUCUGUGAGUUAUGAAAGCAACUUUCCUACUUAUUUAGGAAAGGUAAGAUACUUGGGAGAUGAGCAAGUGCUGAUAAGAGAGAUAAAGAUCAGCUUUGCAACCCAGAAUGAUCUGACUAGGAAGUUAAGCUUGCUGUCUAAUGGCAUUAUCUCUCUUUUCUCAUGUUUGUUUCUUCCUGUUCAAGAUCUAUUUUUUCUUCUGUUGGUAAUAGUAGUCUAUUUUUCUUUUAGAAAACUACUCCACCAUCAUCUGAUGUGGUUCUGAUGGCUGUGCAUUUCUCAGCUUUAUCCUCAGCCUGUGGGUCUCUCCUUCAUGAGUAAGGCAACCAUCAACAGCAGAGCCACUUUAGAGUCUCCUGGGAAAGUGUGAACAUGACAGUAAACAGCCUACAUCAAAGACAUUUCAAUUCAGCAACAAGCCUUUCUGUUUCAG